rnacentral:rRNA from 1 species
UACAGAGGUCUCAAGCGUUGUUCGGAUUCAUUGGGCGUAAAGGGUGCGUAGGCGGCGCGGCAAGUCAGGUGUGAAAUCUCGGGGCUCAACCCCGAAACUGCACUUGAUACUGCUUUGCUCGAGUACUGGAGAGGAGACUGGAAUUUACGGUGUAGCAGUGAAAUGCGUAGAUAUCGUAAGGAAGACCAGUGGCGAAGGCGAGUCUCUGGACAGUUACUGACACUGAGGCACGAAGGCCAGGGGAGCAAACGGG